CAGAGGUCUCAAGCGUUGUUCGGAUUCAUUGGGCGUAAAGGGUGCGUAGGUGGCGGGGCAAGUCAGGUGUGAAAUCUCGGAGCUCAACUCCGAAACUGCACUUGAUACUGCCUUGCUCGAGUACUGGAGAGGAGAUUGGAAUUUACGGUGUAGCAGUGAAAUGCGUAGAUAUCGUAAGGAAGACCAGUGGCGAAGGCGAAUCUCUGGACAGUUACUGACACUGAGGCACGAAGGCCAGGGGAGCAAACAGGAUUAGAUACCCUGGUAGUCCUGGCAGUAAACGGUGCGCGUUUGGUGUGGGAGGAUUCGACCCCUUCUGUGCCGGAGCUAACGCGUUAAACGCGCCGCCUGGGGAGUACGGUCGCAAGAUUA
rnacentral:rRNA from 1 species